rnacentral:rRNA from 1 species
UCAAGAAACUUCCACAAUGGGCGAAAGCCUGAUGGAGCGACGUCGCGUGAUGGACGAAGUGCUUCGGCACGUAAACAUCUUUUAUGUGGGAUGAAAUUAUUGACAGUACCACAUGAAUAAGGGGCUCCUAACUCUGUGCCAGCAGGAGCGGUAAUACAGAGGCCCCAAGCGUUAUCCGGAAUCACUGGGCGUAAAGGGUGUCGAGGCGGUUGUAUUAGUCGUUCGUAAAAUCUACGAGCUUAACUUGUAGGCGGCGAACGAAACGGUACGACUUGAGGUUUGGAGAGGUGCGUGGAACUCACGGUGUAGGGGUGACAUCCGUUGAUAUCGUGGGGAACACCAAAGGCGAAGGCAGAGCACUGGGACCUUUCUGACGCUGAGACACGAAAGCGUGGGGAGCAAAAAGGAUUAGAUACCCAAGUAGUCCCUGAGCGGGCUGGCAAGGCGCAU